CAGUCGCCACGGUAAUACGUAGGUGGCAAGCGUUGUCCGGAAUUAUUGGGCGUAAAGGGCUCGCAGGCGGUUUCUUAAGUCUGAUGUGAAAGCCCCCGGUUCAACCGGGGAGGGUCAUUGGAAACUGGGAAACUUGUGUGCAGAAGAGGAGAGUGGAUUUCCACGUGUAGCGGUGAAAUGCGUAGAGAUGUGGAGGAACACCAGUGGCGAAGGCGACUCUCUGGUCUGUAACUGACGCUGAGGAGCGAAAGCGUGGGGAGCGAACAGGAUUAGAUACCCCCGUAGUCCCUGUCUCUUAUAC
rnacentral:rRNA from 1 species